AUCGAAUCUCAGCUUGGUAAGGAUACCCCCUGAAUUUAAGCAUAUAAUUAAAGGGAGGAAAAGAAACUAACAAAGGAUUCCCUCAGUAAAGGGCGACUGAAGCGGGAAAAGCUCACCGUGUGAAUCGACAUUCUAUGUCGAGUUGUGGUCUGUAGAAGUAACAUCUGUCGAGAUUCCGAGCUAAGUCUCUUGGAAAAGAGCAGCUGAGAGGGUGACACUCCCGUUCUUGCUUGGAAUCUACGACAAUAGCAUGUGUCUUCAACGAGUCGAGUUGCUUGGGAUUGCAGCUCAAACGCGUGGUAUACUCCAUGUAAAGCUAAAUAUUGGUAGGAAACCGAUAGCGCACAAGUACAGUGAUGUAAAGAUGAGAAGCACUUUGAAAAGAGAGUUAAAGAGUACCUGAAAUUGCUGAAAGGGAAGCGAAUGGAAACAGUGUGUUUCCGUACCAUUCUUCCUUCACGACUUGUCGUGUGGGCGCUGUGGUGCGGAGUCAGUCAGCAUGGGUUUGAGUCGGGACAUAUAGCCGUUGAGGAGGCAUGCUUCUUUUAGCAGAUUACUCUUUGGUGUUGUCUUGGCUUGGAUCGAGGCUAGCAUUUCGUGAUGCUGACGAAAUGUUUCUAUUCACCCCGUCUUGAAACACGGACCAAGGAGUCUAA
rnacentral:rRNA from 1 species